rnacentral:lncRNA from 1 species
GUUUAAUUUUUUUUAUUUUGUUUACUCUUUCUAGAGGCUGCCAAACUCCAAGCAGUCAUACAAAUGGAACCAAUGACAAAUGUGCUAGACUUCUUUUACUGGAUCUACCAGAUUGACCUUGUAAACAGCUCGUAACUGCUAAACUAUAGGACUUCUAUGUUGAUUCUGAAGUCCCCUGGACCAUCUCCUUAUUCUCUUUGUGGGCUGUAUUCAUAGCAAUCCUGCUGGCUUUAUAGUCUGGCCCAUGUAUUCUUAACUGUCUUUGGCUUUGUCUCCUCCAGACUCAAAAGCUAUACGCUACCAAGACGACAAUGCCCGGUGCCUAUCAAAAGCCUUUACAUAGACCCUCUGUAGAGUGACUCUGACUGCUGAUCACAACUACAACCCUCUUCGUGUGGAAAUAGUCAGAGCAGUCUUUGCCCUUUGCGCCCUCACAGCAUUUAGUGGUACUUCUUCAAAGGAGGGAUUAUUGCAGAAAGUCUUUCCUGCCUCGUCGGACAUGGAUAUUGAUGUUACUGCAUUACUCUUCCCUCUUCCCCCACAAAUCCUUCGAAGCAUUUCUUCUGCAGGUCGGCACUGGAUGAAAAGACCAAAAUGGCUCUUUUCAAAUAUACUAACUCUGCUUUCUCCUGUGACCAGAAAAGGACAAG